AGAGGGUGCAAGCGUUAAUCGGAUUUACUGGGCGUAAAGCGCGCGUAGGCGGCUAAUUAAGUCAAAUGUGAAAUCCCCGAGCUUAACUUGGGAAUUGCAUUCGAUACUGGUUAGCUAGAGUGUGGGAGAGGAUGGUAGAAUUCCAGGUGUAGCGGUGAAAUGCGUAGAGAUCUGGAGGAAUACCGAUGGCGAAGGCAGCCAUCUGGCCUAACACUGACGCUGAGGUGCGAAAGCAUGGGGAGCAAACAGGAUUAGAUACCCUGGUAGUCCAUGCCGUAAACGAUGUCUACUAGCCGUUGGGGCCUUUGAGGCUUUAGUGGCGCAGCUAACGCGAUAAGUAGACCGCCUGGGGAGUACGGUCGCAAGACUAAA
rnacentral:rRNA from 1 species